rnacentral:rRNA from 1 species
UAGGGAAUAUUGGGCAAUGGACGCAAGUCUGACCCAGCCAUGCCGCGUACAGGAUGACGACGUUAUGCAUUGUAAACUGCUUUUAUACAGGAAGAAACGACUCUUGCGAGAGGCAUUGACAAUACUAUAUAAAUAAGCACCGGCUAACUCCGUGCCAGCAGCCACGGUAAUACGGAGGGUGCAAACGUUGUCCGGAUUUAUUGGAUUUAAAGGGUGCGCAGGUGGUUUAUUAAGUCAAUGGUGAAAGACGGUCGCUCAACGAUUGCAGUGCCAUUGAAACUGGUAGACUUGAGUAAAGUAGAGGUGGGCGGAAUUGAUAGUGUAGCGGUGAAAUGCAUAGAUAUUAUCAAGAACUCCAAUUGCGUAGGCAGCUCGCUUGGCUUUUACUGACACUCAUGCACGAAAGUGUGGGUAUCAAACAGG